rnacentral:rRNA from 1 species
UGGGGAAUAUUGCACAAUGGGGGAAACCCUGAUGCAGCGACGCCGCGUGAGCGAAGAAGGUUUUCGAAUCGUAAAGCUCUGUCCUAUGAGAAGAUAAUGACGGUAUCAUAGGAGGAAGCCCAGGCUAAAUACGUGCCAGCAUCCGCGGUAAUACGUAUGGGGCGAGCGUUGUCCGGAAUUAUUGGGCGUAAAGGGUACGUAGGCGGUCUAUUAAGUCAGGUGUGAAAGCGUGAGGCUUAACCUCAUUAAGCACUUGAAACUGAUAGACUUGAGUGAAGGAGAGGAAAGUGGAAUUCCUAGUGUAGCGGUGAAAUGCGUAGAUAUUAGGAAGAAUACCGGUGGCGAAGGCGACUUUCUGGACUUUUUCUGACGCGCAGGUACGAAAGCGUGGGGAGCAAACAGG